AUUGAACGCUGGCGGCAGGCCUAACACAUGCAAGUCGAACGAGUGGCGGACGGGUGAGUAAUGUCUGGGAAACUGCCUGAUGGAGGGGGAUAACUACUGGAAACGGUAGCUAAUACCGCAUACCAUCGGAUGUGCCCAGAUGGGAUUAGCUUGUAGGUGGGGUAACGGCUCACCUAGGCGACGAUCCCUACCUGGUCUGAGAGGAUGACCAGCCAAACGGGAACUGAGACACGGGCCAGACGCCGACGGGAGGCAGCAGUGGGGAAUAGUGCACAAUGGGCGCAAGCCUGAUGCAGCCAUGCCGCGUGUAUGAAGAAGGCCUUCGGGUUGUAAAGUACUUUCAGCGGGGAGGCGUUACCCGCAGAAGAAGCACCGGCUAACUCCGUGCCAGCAGCCGCGGUAAUAC
rnacentral:rRNA from 1 species